rnacentral:rRNA from 1 species
GAUGAACGCUAGCGGCAGGCUUAAUACAUGCAAGUCGAGGGGCAGCAGGUCUGUAGCAAUACAGAUGCUGGCGACCGGCAAACGGGUGCGGAACACGUACACAACCUUCCUUUAAGUGGGGAAUAGCCCAGGGAAACUUGGAUUAAUACCCCGUAAAUUAUGAAGUGGCAUCACUUUAUAAUUAAAGCUCAGGCGCUUAAUGAUGGGUGUGCGGCUGAUUAGGUAGUUGGCGGGGAACGGCCCACCAAGCCUGCGAUCAGUAACUGGUGUGAGAGCACGACCAGUCACACGGGCACUGAGACACGGGCCCGACUCCUACGGGAGGCAGCAGUAAGGAAUAUUGGUCAAUGGACGCAAGUCUGAACCAGCCAUGCCGCGUGGAGGAUGAAGGUCCUCUGGAUU